rnacentral:rRNA from 2 species
GGGGGGUCGUCAUUAUACCAUGCAGUCGAACGAUGAUCUCCAGCUUGCUGGGGGGAUUAGUGGCGAACGGGUGAGUAACACGUGAGUAACCUGCCCUUGACUCUGGGAUAAGCCUGGGAAACUGGGUCUAAUACCGGAUAUGACUCCUCAUCGCAUGGUGGGGGGUGGAAAGCUUUUGUGGUUUUGGAUGGACUCGCGGCCUAUCAGCUUGUUGGUGAGGUAAUGGCUCACCAAGGCGACGACGGGUAGCCGGCCUGAGAGGGUGACCGGCCACACUGGGACUGAGACACGGCCCAGAUCCUACGGGAGGCAGCAGUGGGGAAUAUUGCACAAUGGGCGAAAGCCUGAUGCAGCGACGCCGCGUGAGGGAUGACGGCCUUCGGGUUGUAAACCUCUUUCAGUAGGGAAGAAGCGAAAGUGACGGUACCUGCAGAAGAAGCGCCGGCUAACUACGUGCCAGCAGCCGCGGUAAUACCUAGGGCGCAAGCGUUAUCCGGAAUUAUUGGGCGUAAAGAGCUCGUACGCGGUUUGUCGCGUCUGCCGUGAAAGUCCGGGGCUCAACUCCGGAUCUGCGGUGGGUACGGGCAGACUAGAGUGAUGUAGGGGAGACUGGAAUUCCUGGUGUAGCGGUGAAAUGCGCACAUAUCAGGAGGAACACCGAUGGCGAAGGCAGGUCUCUGGGCAUUAACUGACGCUGAGGAGCGAAAGCAUGGGGAGCGAACAGGAUUAGAUACCCUGGUAGUCCAUGCCGUAAACGUUGGGGCACUAGGUGUGGGGGACAUUCCACGUUUUCCGCGCCGUAGACUAACGCAUUAAGUGCCCCGCCUGGGGAGUACGGCCGCAAGGCUAAAACUCAAAGGAAUUGACUGGGGGCCCGCACAAGUCGGACGGGAGCUAUGCUAGAUUAAAUUCGAUGCAUCGCGGAGAAACCCUUUACCCAAAGGCUUGACAUGCACUGGUAAAAUACCUGGGAAACAGUGCCCCGCUUGGCCGUCCGUCACAGUGGUGCCAUGGAUGUCGUCAGCUCUGUCGGGCGAUCGAUUCGGGGAUUAAAGAUCCCG